AUUGAACGCUGGCGGCGUGCUUAACACAUGCAAGUCGAUCGGUAACGCGGGGGCAACCCUGGCGACGAGAGGCGGACGGGUGAGGAACGCUUGGGAAUCUGCCCUUCAGCGGGGGACAACCCGGGGAAACUCGGGCUAAUACCGCAUACGCUCCACGGAGGAAAGCCGGGGACCGCAAGGCCUGGCACUGAAGGAUGAGCCCAAGCCGGAUUAGCUAGUUGGCGGGGUAACGGCCCACCAAGGCGACGAUCCGUAGCUGGUCUGAGAGGACGAUCCGCCACACCGGAACUGGGACACGGUCCGGACUCCUACGGGAGGCAGCAGUGGGGAAUAUUGGACAAUGGGGGAAACCCUGAUCCAGCGACGCCGCGUGGGUGAAGAAGGCCUGCGGGUUGUAAAGCCCUUUCGGUAGGGACGAAAGCUCUUGCCUUAAUACGGCAGGAGGUUGACUUAACCUACAUAAGAAGCACCGGCUAACUCUGUGCCAGCCGCCGCCGUAA
rnacentral:rRNA from 1 species